UAACCGUAGGUGAACCUGCGGUGGGAUCAUUACAAAACAAAAGAUAAGAGAGAGAUUUUGCUUCUUGGGCACAUCGCCUAGAAGGAAAAUCCUGUCUUUGAAAUCUAUGUGAACUUGUAAUUGUUUUUGGUGGUUUUUGUUCCGUGGAUCAAUGUAAAUCCCACCAGCAUUUUUCUAUAUUGACUAUUUUUUUAAAAUUAUUUUUACUUUUUGCUUCUUUUUUUUUUUGAAAAAAAAAUAUAAGAAAGAUGAAAAAAAAUAAAUUAAAAACAACUUUUGACAAUGGAUCUCUUGGCUCUC
rnacentral:misc_RNA from 1 species